UUGUGAUAGUGAAUAAGUCUCAUGAGAUCUGACAGUUUUAAAAAUGGGAGUUUUCCUGCACAAGCUCUCUCUCUUUGCCUACUGCCAUCCAGGAAGACGUGACUUGCUUCUUCUUGCCUUCCACUAUGAUUGUGGGAAGGCCUCCCCAGUCAUGUGGAACUGUGCUGUGUGAAGAAUGGAAACAUGCAACAAUAAAGACACCAGUCCUGGUGGACCUGAUGGCCUAUGUCUGGUGUGGCGGGGGACAGAUAAGUAAACAGAUCGUCCUAUACGGGGUAGCCAACGCUAUCAUCUGAUAGAAGUAAUGUAUUAGUCUGUUCUCAUGCUGCUGUAAAGAACUACCCAAGACUGGGUAAUUUAUAAAGAAAAGAGGUUUGAUUGACUCACAGUUCCACAGGCUGUACAGGAGGCAUGGCUUGGGAAGCCUCGAGAAAUUUACAAUCAUGGCGGAAGGCAAAGGGGAAGCCAGCAUGUCUCACAUGGCAGGAGCAGGAGGAAUAGAGAGCAGGAGGAGGUGCUACACAUUUCAAAAAGCCAGAUCUCAUGAGAACUCACUCACUAUCAUGAGAACAGCAAGGGGGAAGUCCGCCCCCAUGAUCCAGUCACCUCCCACCAGACCCCUCCUCCAACACUGGGAUUACAAUUUGACAUGUGAUUUGGGUGGGGACACAGGGUCAAACCAUAUCAGGUAACAAAACUCCAGUCUCAAAAAUGGUAAGUCAAUUUUAUUGCUAUUAUAAUUCUUAAAACUGGUGUUGAUGAUGAUGAUGAUAGCAGUUAUUUGUACAGUAACAUGCCCAAGACAAAUCCCAAGAGAGGAACAUAAACAAAAUCAAGUGGGGAGAUUUGACUUUGCCCAAGUUCUUCUCAACUAGAAAUUUCUAAAGGUGUUUUGUGUGGAGUGCUGCGCUAUGUGCAGUUUUCAGCUAUUCAACCUCAAGGAUGUCAAAUUGUUGGAAGAGAUUCAAAGAAGGAUAAUCAAACUUGGAUGGAGCUGACUUAAAGAAAUGGGCUAACCUCCAGAAAGAAUGCCAUUGAAUCCAGAGAGAGGUGCCGUUGAAUCAGCCCUUGCUGAUGAAGCCUCUUCACUGUACUGCUCAGACCUCUCCAUCCUGGUGGCAAGGGCUUAGACCAUUAUUCAUGGUCUGACUGGCCUCGAGGUGGCUGUCUCGCCUUUGAAAAAGGGCAGACACAGAGCAUGUUCAGAGCACGGAGCCAUACUGUGCGAUUUCUUCAAAGAGAGCUUAACCACAGAAUUUGGAUUAAUGAAUGACGUAACUGCUUCAGGGCAACACACCCUCACUGCAGCUGCUUAGCCCAGGAAGCAGCAAGGUCAAUACAAGGAGAGCCACAGGCCUGGGGAGAUGCAUGCCUUCCUUCCUGGCCACGUGGAUCUCACUACUUAGCCCAGAUGGCCUGCGAGAAGGACAAAGCCAAGCACUUCACAACACUGUCAGUUGCUGUCCUGAAGAAGGUGGCCAGGAGCUCUAGAAGGAUUCAAAGCCCCAGGGAUUUUUGGUUUUUAUGUAUACACUUCUCUUUACAUACUUGUUCCUCAACAUCCAAUCAGCCUUGCAGGUUUGUCCCCGCUCCUAGCAUUCAGAAACACUCAAGAGCAGGGUGGGUCAGAGCUCUCCACCACAUACGCAGCAGAGUGAAAGAAGCUGCCCUGCAGGACAGCUCCAGGCUCAUGGCCACCCCUCCUCACAUGCAUACCUCCUCCUCUUCCACCAAACAACAACAAACUCCUUCAUGUAGCAUUCACGCCCUCCUCUUGUGGCCUCUACCUGCCAUCCCACACCAAUCCCUUUUUAUGUCCCCACAGGUACCCAGGAGUCUCCCCUAACUAAAUUCCCCACUGCUUCUCCAAAUCACCCCAAUCCUACUUCCCACUGAAACUAACAAGAAGGGAAGGAAGGUGUUAACAAAUGAAGUCUUCGAAGGAAGUCACCCCAAGAAUCUGGGCCUACUAGUCAUUCCCUAAGGCUCAGCUCUUGGCAUUUGCUUCGUUCCCUGGGCCAUUAUUUUCAUACUGUGAAGAAAUUUCACCCUAGUCCCAUUUUGGAGAGCAAGUGUUGGUACAGUGCUGGGUAAAGACCCUGACACCAGGUCCUGGUCCCUGGCCCAGAGCAGGGGAUAUGAAGGGAAGCCCCACUCACUGUGUGCUCCCUCACUGACUCCUCAAAGGAAUUCCAGGAAGGGUGCUUUAGUGACCCUUUGGCUCACAGAGUUAGAGUGACCUGCCCAAGGCCACCCAGAGAAUGAAUGGUGGGACUGAGAUCACACCUGGGCCUGCCUGGCUGCCAAGCCUUUUGCUAUUUUCAUUAUUCCACAUUUCUUUCCAAGGAUACAGAAAGCAGGGAUAGGAAGUGCUGUGGAAACAAGCAAAAAGCCUUAUCCAUAGUCAGCAUCCAAAAAGUACUAUACCUUCUCUGACCCCUGCUUUAUUUAUUUGUUUAUUUUCAGGGAUGAUGUAAUAGCCAGAAAAAUAAGUGAACAGAAGAUUCCGGGUUCUACUUUAUGCCAAUUUUUCUUAAAUAUCUCAGUCACUAGAAAAAGAUCUAUUUGAAAAUCUUGCUCUGAGCAGUUUCUGUCUUGGGCCCAGUUGUUUGAGGAGCCUGUUGAAUUUUUAAAUUUAUUAGUGUUCCCAUGCUUCAUUCAUUGGCAUAUAUGUAUAUUCUCUAUACUUUAUAAUUACAAGUAAGCUCUUGAUAAUAAAAAGUAACUGUCAUUCUGUGAAGCUCUUUAAUGCAGCCAAAGAUAAUUUCAGGGGGCAAUUGGCAGUCUAAGUCCUUGCUUUCUCUCAUUUUAAAGGAGAACCAAAUCAACUUAGAGUGAAUUUGUUCAAAUGUGGGUAAGAUUUAACAGGCACUUCAGCUGCCCAGGGUACUUUUCCAUGUCUCUCCAACCAACCCCACCCAAAUAGCUUAGGAUUGGCAUUUUCUGAUGAGCACAGGGAUAGAGAAUGAGAACGGAGUCAGGUCCUCAGGUAUUCAAGGUUAGAAUUCCUUCUUAACCUUGCCCACUAUGCCCUAUGUGGGGACAUGCUACAGCAGAGAUCACUUGAGAAUUAUCCUGUGGCUCACACUGCCAUAAUUAGUUAUCUGUUCGGCACCUCUCAACUAAUCAGAACAAUGGCACAUCCAAAAGUAAAAGGAGAAGAAAGGAGACAAGAAUACAGCGACUGAAUAAUAAAA
rnacentral:lncRNA from 10 species